CCGAUUGGUCGUCAGCAGCUGGAGGCGGGAAAGGGGGUUUGAAGCCGCAGGCAGACACGGGUCAAGAUAUCGGCUGGACCGGGAACGCUUUCCCUUAUCGGACGGCGGCCCGUCUGAAAGGGGCAAGGGGCGUCUCGCCAACUCUCCUUCGUGAACAUCGAUCCGACGCCACCUGUUGGCAAACUGCUGCUUCUAUAUUCGUGAUGGAAAAUGAAGUCGAUGAUACCGAUAAAGGGACGUUCAGCCGCCGCGCUCUCUGGCACAACGGACGCACUUUUAACAUACGAAAUUAAAAUAUUACGCGGUUCGUGGCGGCUGCCCCUGCAGAGCAAGCGGUUCAGUCGUAGUUGGUUAGAGAAUGAUUUAAUAAGAGGGGGGGGGGGGUUGGAUUGGCAGACCGGCGCAGGGCGGUUUUGGAAAUCAUACAAACGCACAUCUUGUUUGUUUGUUUUUAAACACAACAGAAAGUGGCGAUGAGCUUUUGCCAAGCCCGUUUCCUCCCCCGCGCAGGAACCUCCCUGCACGCAGUCCAUCGCGACCAACCCAAGGCCGAUGUGUUGACAUCUUAACGCUAAGAUGCAAGCGCCGCGUUCCCCCGAGCGAUUUCUUCUCACGGGUUCUACUGAAGCCGGAGACGAGAGGUGGACCACCGGCGUGAAGCGGAAGCUCCGCCGCUCAUCUGCUUUUAUCGGUUUCCUGGCGGUUUGGCGACACAAGGCCUGUUUGUAUGAAUGAAUUAAAACCGCAGCCAUGGUUGUGUCAUAGGACCGGAUCCCACCGGACAGCACAGUGUGUUUCGAGCCUCGGUGUGUGUGUGUGUGUGUGUGUGUGUCAGCAUUGCAUGCCUGGUGGUCCACAGUGGGCUGUGUAAAUAUUAUUCGCAGUAUAAAUGCUCCGCCACUCAAGCGCACAAAGGCAUGCACACAAUGGUUUAAGUGUGACUCGAGAAGGGGAGUCGAAGGGACGAAGAGACUUGAUCAAACGGUGAUCAAACUGCUCUGAAACCAGUCGUGUUGUAUGAAAGUCCACGUCCCAAAUGAUCUAAUCGGUAUUCGGGAAGCUGCUAAUCACACGUGAAGAUAAAAGACAAUCAACAGUUGCGCACAAUCAGCGUUCCUCGUAAAUCAUCUUUAUUAUGGUCGUCGUUGUUGAUCAGCUGACCCACUUUCUUGCCUGCAGAUUUACGUCAGAGAAAAAGAAGCGUCUUUGCUCACAAUGCAAUUGCAGCAGAGAGCUAUCGAUUAGUUUAAUGACUACUUAACUCGUUGUUCCAUGAAACACGAUGAAAAACGCCCACAACAAGCCUCAAGAUGGCCACUUCAGAACAUUUUAAACGGGAGCGUUUGCUGCCAAUGUGUUCAAAACGUUUUAUGUCAGCUUCUCGAAACAAAUUAUUCUCUAGUGCCGGAGACAUCUCUGCGUAAGUGCUUUUUAAUUUUGCUCUGUCAAAUAUAAUUUAUUAAUGCUUUUCUUUGCAUUUGGCUGUUAGACAUUAGAGGCUACAGAGUUACCGAAACAGAACAUAAUCUGUAAAAACCUUUAGAACUGAUUGUUUUCUUCCGUUUUCAAGUGAAAGUGCUUCUUUUUUACACCCAGACGAGUCGCCCCCUGGUGGCCGUGACAGGGAAUGCAAGUUUGAGAUGCGAUCGGCCUCAAUCCUCAGAACUGGUUGAUCAGACGGCAUCCAACGUUUCCGUAAGCAACCGACGGAGGAAUUUCAAUUCUUUCUUCCGAUUCAGGAUGCAAAACAAUGAAUGGAUGAAUAGAAAGCAUUCCGAAGCCGACGGAAGAGACUGACUGAGGCGGAAGCUAGCAACUAGAUACCUGCAUCGACACCGAGGGGGGUGUUUGGGGAUGUGCGGCUACGUGGCGCGCUAACAAGCCGAUUCAGACCGACUAGAUGAGGUUCGGGGGGGCGGGCGAGGUUAAUGCAUUACAGAUGAGUGGAUUCAUCCACUAUCGCUCUCCAUUAGUCAUCCUAUACUCUGAAAACAUGGAGAGGGCCUCUUGCACUUCCUUCAUAAAUGAAUACAGAUGACUGUGAGAAGGCACGCAGACACACACACACAAACACACAGGCUUGUUAGCUAAAGAUCACAGGCGUUUAUUCAUGAUAAUAUUCUCAUUAUGGCUUUUAUUUGAAUGUGAUUGGAGCAGGAACAUCAAACAUUGGUCACUUGGCGGAUUGAAACCAGCUUUAUGAAAUCUGAGAUGGAUUUCUAUCUUUGUCAGAUGGAGCGCGAGCGAUCCGAGUCAAAAAGAGCCUCAUUAAAAUGUAGCCUGCAUACGUGUUCAGCAUGAUAAGAGUCCACCUCCCACUUGUCCACUUCCUCCCACAGUGAUGUCAUUUCAAAGGUCUCCUCACCCGGGACUGUGUCUUAAAAUGAUCAUCGGUGCAGUGGGAGGGACCAACAGAGCUGCCUAGAAUUCAGCAGGUUGUCGAUUCUCUAACCGCCAAUCAGACAAGCCUCCUGAGGCGUGUGUGUGUGUGUGUGUGUGUGUGUGUGUGUGUGUGUGUGGUGACUCAUUGUAUUUGGCCCGUGCACAUGAUAACAGCAGAUUGGGGGUCAUGACAGAGGGAUUCUGCCUCUAUGACGUGUUAGUUACUCUCACUCUGCAGUGUUUAAUGUACCUUUCAAAGUAAAAGUAUGUUUUUUAAAAUCUUUUUUAAACAUUGUGCAAAAUGAAUUUCCACCUGUUCUUCGGUAACUUGAACGAUUGUUCAUAUUUUCAGUUUUCAUAAUCAUUUUAUAAUAACUUUUUGAAUGAUCUCUAUCAUCAGGUGGAUUGUUAUUGCCGUUGUUCCUGAAUGUAUUAUGUAGUCAAACAUAAUAAGUACACAAAUUACAUUUCACUGCCCUCCAGCUGUUGAUUAGUGUGUGUGUGUGUGGCGGUGGCUCUGUGUGUUUGCGGGAUGUUAAGGUGUGUGUGUGUGUGUGUCGGUUGCGGGAUUACUUCCAGUACCGUAAGAUCUUUGUUUACCCCCAGGCCCGUUGUUUACAGACUGAUUUCACAAAAUGAUGCGUGUGUGUGUAAACGCGGGGUGUGCACGUGGAGUGUGUACGUGUGGUCAGUUUAGCCAGUGACCUUUUCCCGCCCCGGGGGGGGGGGGCAGCCAAUCACAGGAGGGCUGUGGAGACGGCGUUCAGCCAAUCACAGGAAAACUGCCACCUCUCUGCUCUCUCCUGCUCCAUUGUGCCUUUUUUAUUAUCUUUCUCUGUUGAUGGUUACCGCAGUAAAGAGCUUGCUUGUCAUCAAGAACAACACAACUACUCCCCAUGACUCCCCUUGCCUCCCCCGUCUCUCUCCAUCUCUCUCUCUCUCUCCAAAAAAAGCUUCUGCUGACUAACGUGAGCUCUUUAUUUGUUCCUCUUUCCUCCUUCACGCGUUCCUUUGUCUAUUCGGCAGCUUUACUGCAGUGUUAACCAAUGCUUUUCCUGCACACGCACACAAACACACAUACACACGCAGACACACACACACACACACGCACGCACACUGAUGCUCAGUUUUUUUAAUCUUUUAUAAUGAGACCACUUGGUGAAAUAAAUUGUCAGGGUGUUUCUUUCUCUCUCGGUGUGUCAGCGCUUAACUCGGAUUGACUCCAAGCCUCUAUUGAUUUAUGGGCUUGAGCGAGUGUGUGUGUGUGUGUGUGUGUGUGUGUGUGUGUGUGUUGGUGUGUGUUGUUGCGUGACGUUCCGGGGGUCAAUUGGUUGCUCUUUAGGGGACUGGAGCUCAAUUAAGGUGGAUUUCUUCUGGCUCACGGUUGUAAAAGGACCAGAGAGUCAGCAGGUCAUCAACACCGAGCUGCCCCGGAUUCACCGGCUCGACCACACACACACACACACACACACACACACACACACACACACACACACACACACACACACGAUAGGAAUCCUCAGGAUGUGAGAAAUAACCCGAAGAGGCAAUAACGCAUUGAUUUUUCUGAAGGAGCCGGGCUCCCCGGGGACCCCGCUUGGUGCGGGGGUUGCGUGUCGGGUUGCGUAUCGGGUUGCGUAUCGGGUUGCGUAUCGGAUUGGGUAUCGCGUUGGGUAUCGGGUUGGGUUCGGGUUGCGUGUCGGGUUGGGUUCGGGUUGCGUGUCGGGUUGCGUGUCGGGUUGGGUAUCGGGUUGCGUGUCGGGUUGCGUGUCGGGUUGCGUAUCGGGUUGCGUAUCGAGUUGCGUAUCGAGUUGGGUAUCGAGUUGGGUAUCGGGUUGCGUGUCGGGUUGCGUGUCGGGUUGGGUAUCGGGUGGCGUGUCGGGUUGCGUAUUGAGUUGGGUAUCGGGUUGCGUAUCGGGUUGCGUAUCGGGUUGGGUAUCGGGUUGCGUAUCGAGUUGCGUAUCGGGUUGGGUAUCGGGUUGCGUAUCGAGUUGGGUAUCGAGUUGGGUAUCGGGUUGCGUGUCGGGUUGCGUGUCGGGUUGGGUAUCGGGUGGCGUGUCGGGUUGCAUAUAAGGUUGCGUAUCGAGUUGCGUAUCGGGUUGCGUAUUGAGUUGGGUAUCGGGUUGCGUAUCGAGUUGCGUAUCGGGUUGGGUAUUGGGUUGCGUGUCGGGUUGCGUGUCGGGCUGCGUGUCGGGCUGCGUGACGGUUGCGUAUCGUCACCGGACCUUCGCGGUGGUCUCCUUCGUCUUCGAUGCAGUGCUUAGUAUUCAGUUAUGCUUUUAGGUCAUGUUGUCUUGUUACCGCACUGCUGUGUCUAAUGAGCCCUUCCUGUUGUUGUUGUUGAUGAUGUGUGUGUGUGUGUUUGUACUGUAUGUGUGUCUGUUUCCCCACAGUCGAGCUCCACAUAAAUAACCCAAUAGUCCCGAUCACAUUACUGCCUGAAAGAUGGUUAGACUGACAGAAAGAGAGAGACGGGGGGGGGGGACCAUUGGUAAAGGCCCACUUUGUGUGGACACAGCGUUUUGUUUCACACAACAAUUCUUUGAGGGGAACCAACCCCCCCCCCCCUGCACAUUUCAAUCUGCACACAGCUACAUACGGAGGACGGAUGGAUCAAACAGCCCGCAAACGAGGUCUUGUGUGUAUUAGGAAGCGGGUGGGAGUGCGUGCAUGGAUGCACUCAUGUGUAGGGAUGCACAUCUCUAUGUGUGUGUGUGUGUGUGUGUGUGUGAGAGAGAGCGACAGCGUCUUAUUAUGAAAGAGUAAUGCAGAUGGAUGAAUAAAUAAAAGAUCUGGGAAACCCAUCAGCAUCGAGCACUCGGUUGUCAUGGCAAUGCGAGCAGCACAGCACAGUAUGUGCGUGUGUUUAAUGUGUUGCGAGUGAGAGAGAUCGACAUCGCACAACUGCAGUGUUUAGGUAUGUAAACAAGAGAUUCGCACUGAUGAAGAAGCGUACGGAACGCGGUUUGUUUCAGUUCGUCCUGCUCGGCCCAUGAACACACUCGUGCGUGAAGUUGCUUUUAAAUAGAGUCAACGUGACGUCUUGUAGGUGCGUCUUUGCCUGUUUGCAGCCCGUCUCUGCGUGUGAGUACGGUGACCGAAGCUUAAUUAAUGUUGGAAAAAAAAGUGCAUGAAAGUGCACGUGGAAAGUUUCAUGAAAGCUGCUUCAAACAGUGGCAAUGCGAUGUAUGCUGCUCUGUGAGAGAGAGAGAGGACUGGAAGAGGCUCUUACUAGAAACUCUACCUGGUUACUAGGCAACAGAAUGGCACUGCUGCACAUCGGAGCAUGGGGGGGGCAAUCUGUGUGUGAGGGUCCUCGUUCAACUGCUGAGUCAAUAACUAUAUUAUUUAUUGUUUAUAUUAUUUAUUAUUUAUGUGUGUGCGAGAGCCUACCAAUGUUCCUGCAGCAGCUCAGAAGGCGGAGUCAACCUGGCGGUCCCGCUGGACGCCGGGCGGCCGCUCACGCUCAUUUUUUUGCGGGUGACCUCGCGAACAGAGCGCACAGCGAGCGCCGCCGCCGCCGCCGCGGCUCAACCCCCGGGUUCUUCUUCCCUCUGCUUCCGUCUCGCUCGCUCUCUCUCGGCCCGCGUCGGAAUCGGCGGGAAUUACGUAAGCGGGGGGCCCGAGAGACGCUUUUUUUGUUAGAGCUUUUAUUACGACGACUGCAUCCGUUUAGUUUUCCUCGGCCUCAGCUUUAGCUCACAAUGAGUGAGGAAAUCAGGUCCAAGUACGGCCGACAGGUCCCACAUCAAAAAAACCCCAAACAAUCCUUGUGAACGACCCGCUGACCUCCGGACCAAAGCUGGUUCAGUGUGUGUGAACUCAUUAAGGGCACCCACUCUCACAGGCAGCGGGUCAAUGCAGACGGAUCCAUCCUCCUCACAUCGAAAAGCAUUUUUCAUUUGCUGCUGUGUGUGUGUGUGUGUGUGUGUGACAGACUGCUGUUUAAUGUCCAUUAGGCUGUAAUGAAGGAACGCCGCUCUCACCGGUCCCCUCGCUGCUUUCUAAUGGGCCUCUAUUAUCACGGUUCAAAGCGCACACACACACACACACACUCAUCUCUUUGAGAUGAAAGGGCAUCAUGAAGCAGGUGACCUAGCUGGAGUGCAGGAGGUCUGGCCUGUGUUAAACAGUCUGAAGUGGCCGUACGAAUGGGCGGUUAUGUGCUUGUCUGAAGAGGAAAGCGCCGCGCGUCACAAAACAAACUGUGAACACGGAGACGUCACAAUGCUGCAGACAACCAAACGCAUUGAACUUCUCCCCAAACGUUGGUAUGUUUCAAUGAGUCGAACGCAAACGGGGUCAAACCAAGACAUCUAUUCAGCAGGCAUUCGUCCUGCAGUAAAACAACCCAGAUCUCUCUGAGUGAGCUCUUCAUCUCAGCUUGCCUGCUGGGUACCUGUGAAUGUAAUUGUCUCACUUGGCGACUUUAACUGUGCAGCGAAACGCGACGUAAUGAAGCCGAAAUAUCAAACGGCAGACCCGAGAGUCGGCGAGGAGGACUCCUGGCAACACAUGACUCGAAGCAUAAUGCGCAAAAUCUGCUCACAUGUGGUUUAAUAACGAUCUAAAAAUACCUGCGUGGAGGAGAAUCUGCCUGCAUCCGCACACUGCGCAUGUAUAGAUUACGAAUGCAGCGUAAUCACUUCUGUUGCUGCCUCUCUGUUCUGUGAUAAAUGUGCAGGUCAGAGGUCGCCGACAUACACAAAAAAGCAGCUAUAAAAACCCUGCAGGAAGCCAAAGGGAAAUUAAACCUGUCACACAAGGAAGCCGACUCGCUCUGUGAUUCAUUUUAGCACCUUUUUCUCUCGGUUCACACGUCCACCUCCUUCUAACGUAAUGACCUAAUUCCCUGCUGGGAAUCAAUAAGGUUACCCGUGCCACUGGAUCACUUCAGUGAGGUCUAAACAUCCAUCUACGUAUCCUCCGCGAAGCCUUCUUACGCGUUGAAGGCUCUCUGGUGCGCAGGAACCAAAGGAGCCACUGAGCGACGAAAUCCCCCCUCUGACAUUUUAUCGGUGCAGCUGCAAAGCGUCCCGUGUAUCCAGAAAGUGCCACCAUCAACACCGCGGCGCUGCCAGUGGCUUCCUGCAGCCAUGCGGUUCUUUUGAGGUUCCCCGAGGUAACAACAACAAGAAAAAAAAAACGCUCUCUGACAGAGUGAGGCAGAGCGUGGAAACGCCACCUCCAGAGCGGACGUCUCCGGCUUUGCAGACGUCUAAUUGGCCACCGGCCCCCUCCGUCCUCCCUCCGUCCUCCCAGCGGCCGCUCAAGAGGCACGGCGGGCCGACUGAAAUGCCGACGGUUUAACCUGCCGUCAGCGGUAGCUUGCAUUCGUGUCCCUGUGUGCAUCACAAACGUGAGUUUGUGUCCAGUCCAACGUGAUCUCCAAAACCUGUUCGUAAACAUGUAUACGAGUAUCUUGAACAUACAAAUUCGUAAAAAUACAUAGGAACUGGCGGUGGUUAACCACGCCCCCUGAGUGAACAACAUGGCGGAGCAUGUCGGAUUCUCGAGUGAACGUCUCUCCGCCAUGUUGGAUUUUUUGAGGGGGUUAGGGUUAGUAUUCUAUUCUUACAAGUUAACACUGAUUUCUCGUUAAAAAUGCAAUCAUAACACGUUUAUUUUACAUGGUUAGACUUCACGAAGUGUGUUUACGGGGCGCAGGUUCACUUUGAACAGGGUGACGUCAUCAGUUGCAGUCCGUAUUUAUUUCCUAUGUAUCACUACGAAUUUGUAUGUUCAAGAUUUUCAUACACAUUUUUACGAACAGGUUCUGGAGAUCAGGCUGAUCCAGUCCCGAUGGUGUGUGUGUGUGUGUGUGUGUGUUGGGGCUAAAGGAGUGCUAACAUGAGCGCGUGUGACAGACCUCCCACGCACCCAGCUUGGAUCUGGCUUGUUCCGGUUUGGCGGUUUUGGCAUGGCGAUGGACGCAGGACAGGGCCGCCCUCGCUGAGAUGCUGUGCUAACUAACAGAUCAGAGAGCAGCCGCCUGCGUUUGUGUGUGUGUGUGUGUGUGUGUGUGUGAGAGAGGGAGGAUGUGUGUCUGACAGCGAGACUCAAGUCCACGUUGGCCCGUAAUCCUCCCAACACAUCAGCUGGUGCAGCAAAAAUCUUCCAAAAGCCUGAUCCGUAAUUGGGAAAGUAAACGACGUGUAGACACGUCGUAACAUCUCGCCCUCGAUGUCUUUGAGAAAAGUGGACGAUGGCAAAAAUCGAUUGGAGGAAAUCAGCGGCUGAAGCCUUGGAGAUGAUUGGAGAGAGCAGUAACCCGCCGCGUGGAUUUCCCCGGAGAGAGCUGUGUCACUUCCCCGCUGAGAGUGUCGCGUUACGGUGGCUGAUGGGGCGCAGCGCUGUCUUCUCGUGGAGGUCAUGGAGCUUCCUGUAAAGACUCAACGGCAACGGCAUCGGUACCGAUCGUUCCCCCAGGUGUCCUUCCACAAAGUCCAGGUCGUGUGGUCGGCUCUAAAAGCCAACAAAUGGAACAAGGGAGCUCCCUGCGGUUCCUUCCCUAAACGGUGGUGGAAGAGCUUUCUGGGAGGAAUGUGUUGACGGAUCGGCCCUUUGCCAACGCCGGGCGGGAGGCACUUCCGCCAAGGCGGCGCGUUCUGUGGCGAAAGCUGAAACGGAUCGGGGGUUUCCAUAAGGGGGUCGGGCUUUGAUGAAACCGUGCUAACCCCCUCCGUGCUAACUUCAUGCUAACACCUCUGGUGUGACGGAUACAAACAGAUGAGACCGAGGAGGAAACAAGCAGCACUUAUGCAGACCGCAGCUCAUUAAUAAAGGAUACGGAAAACCAGAUGUACGAGGUGUUCUGUGAUUUCACAACGUGAUGGUUGCGCGACCUUCGCAUAUUAUUUCCUAAUUUGGUAUCCGGCGUGGUGAGUUAUGCCGCGUGUGCGUGAGCGUGUUCGGUUGGCAUCUAGGUUAUUUCUUUAUGAUUGCGGCGUGUGCGCGCUAACACAUUUUAAGGGUGUUAUUGUUUAGAGGGAACCCUGCUUCCCGUGUUAUGGGAGCGAGAGAGAGAGACCGAGAGCGCCUCGGAACAUUAAUCUCACUUUGAAACAAAGCCGCGUGCAGCGAGAGCGGUGAUGUAACGCAUGCCGGGAUGUUGUGCGAGUGUAAAAAAAAAAAGCGACCUCCACCUCAGAGUGUGCCGGCCUCUGUUGGAGCACUUGACGCUAACUCGUUGGGAUGGAUGAAAACCACGGCAGCCGUGGGAGGAGGGAUUGUGGCAUUAAAGCUGCUAAUUUUACCCUCGUCCUGAGAGCCGCCGAGCUUCGUGUCUGUGCUUAUUUGAAGCGCACACUCAUGCGAAGAGGGCGCCGUCAUCCGGGGGCCCGGACAGGAAGACGGGAUGGGAUGCGUGCCGGGACAGAUGGUGCUUCUGCACAGAAAUAUCCCGGGUUCCGUAGACCGGGCCGUAGAUUUUGAUGCGAAUGGAAAAGUUACCUUGUCUCUGGUAGAUAAUAUCAUAAUAAUAGUGAAUAAAUAAUAUCACUAUUUUGGUUAAGUAGAACCGAGCUGAGCUGAGCUGAGUCUGGUUCUCUUAUCGGCCAUCAGAAGAAGCCAUCUUUGAUGUUUUAAUCAGAGGGCCUUCAACAAUUCUUCUUUUAGAGGCGAGUCACGUGAAAUCCCGAGGAAACGUCCUCG
ensembl:lncRNA